UACAGAGGUCUCAACCGUUGUUCGGAUUCAUUGGGCGUAAAGGGUGCGUAGGCGGUCGCGCAAGUCGGAUGUGAAAUCUCAGGCUCACCCUGAAACUGCAUUCGAUACUGCGUGGACUAGAGUGCUGGAGAGGAGACUGGAAUUUACGGUGUAGCAGUGAAAUGCGUAGAUAUCGUAAGGAAGACCAGUGGCGAAGGCGAGUCUCUGGACAGCAACUGACGCUGAGGCACGAAAGCUAGGGGAAGCAAACAGG
rnacentral:rRNA from 1 species